AUAAUAUGUUCUGUAAACUGUUUUCUCACCAAAAGUCAGUCAGGAGACAAUCAGGCUCCAUGCUCAGCUUGGGAAUGAUGCCAGGAUGGUUGAAGCAGCCGGGCAAAGCAGAGUUCCCAUUACCCAUCUGUUGGGCCCCAGGAGUGGUGGGUGAAGAAUGCUGGGCUGCGAUGCUGCUUGGGCCUUUGGGGUUGUCGUCAUUCUCCUGCUCACAGAGCUGUCUGAUGUCCCCUGCAGACCAGCAGUGCUCCUGAGUGGCCAAGAGGGCGAGCAAAGUCCUCUCUUCCUCACCCCACCUCUGUAUUCCCAACCAUAGCUUGCCAGGACGCUCCCCAUCUCAAGGAGCUCCCUGCUAGCUGGAGGAGGCGACACUCUGUCCUACCUGUACCUGAAGA